GCCGUUUGUACCUGUUAAAAUGAUCCGCUUCGCUGAUCCGCCCCGCCUUGCCGAUUGUACCUACCCGCUUUUAUGAAGCAUAAUCAACAAAGAAAAAAAUAUAGAAGAUGAUCAAACAGAGAUAAAUUACAAUGAAACAAAUGUAAUAUUUUGUUCACCUGAAGCCAUUGUAACAACUUAUUGAUCAAUUGUCAAUGACUCUGCUUUUAAUCAGAAACUUAUUGCAAUUGCAGCUGGCAAAAGCCAUUAUGUGAAAAAUUGGGGAAGUUCAAGUACAUAAUCAGAUGUGUUUUGGUCUCAUGAUAAUAGACUCAAAAUUGUGAUCACUUGUCCCUAAAAGGAUUCCAGAAUUGGCAUUGACAGCAACUGCAACUAAACAAAAAUGGCAAACGAUAAUUUUCAUGUACUCAACUAGAUUAUUUCUUUACUAGUCGAGAAGGAAACAUCGUAAUUAUUCUGAACUUUUAAAGUGCUUUAACUGAGCUAUCCCGAACUUCUAACAGUGCUCUAACCAGCUAAGCUACCAUUAUUGAUAAUCUUUGUACGCAUAAUUUAGUUAUUAUAUCAUCUACACCAGAAAAAAGAAAUAUUAAAUACAACUAUGACUGAUGUAAGAUCAAUUUAUUGGUACUUUCACAAAGAACAAGGUAAAAAGGUGUAAAAUAUAAAAGCUAUCUUGAUAGACAAUACAUUCAAUUUUAUUCCAAAACAGAUUUUAAUGAUAAAAAGUAUAAUAAUACAAAACAAAAAUAUAAACAACCUCUAAAUUUGAUCAAGCUUCAUUUUUUUGUUCGAAAAUAUUCUACUAUUUGUUUCUUCUGCUGUUGGUGUAGAUAUAAUAAUUUUUGUGAGUUUUCUUUAAGAAUUUCACAACCUUUUGAGAUGGCAUUUAUAUUUUUUUGUAUUUUUGCUAAUGU